rnacentral:lncRNA from 1 species
GGUCUUAGGGUCAAAAUUGGGAUCUUACAAUAUGGAUGGGAGGGACAGUGCAUGAGAGCUGUGAUAGGCGUGUGUGUAUGAACAGGGUUCAAAGUAUGACCAUAUGAAGGCUCCUACUAAGCCACAUGUUUUUUUAUCAAAGGCCACGUAGGGAAAGUAUAUAAGUGAGCUCUCUUUAGAGUUCACUUCAUUUUGCAUUUUACUUUAUCUCUCUUCCUCUCUUCUCUCCCUAUCGUCUCUACUAUUCAUUCCCACUUCUCUCUAGAACUCUCUCUCCGAACACCCCACAAACCCAACUUCGGUCACCACCUACCCACUAAUCUACCAUUAGCACCACCUAAGACCACAUUUAUCCUUCAUCGUUUUUCAUCCAAAUGAUGAACACCAACCCAAAUCUCCAUCCAACCCAUGAAUCCUAGACCUAAAACCACGAACCCUAAAAAUCCUAACCCUACAUUCAUCCCAUAACCCAUAUUCAUAUGAACCCUAACAACAUCAACACGAACCCUAACCCUACAUUCAUAUUCUUCUUCAACCUUCAACCCUUCAAACCCUAAACCACCUAGAAACUAACCUAACAUACCCCGAUAAAUGUCAAAUCAUCUCUAAACCUCAGAUCGAACCUCCCAAAACACCAAUCUGAACUAAAAAACACCAAAUCAAACAUCAAUUUCCCCACCCUAAUCCUAAAACCACUUUCUGUUUGAACCCAAACUAAACCCUUUCCAAACAUAAACCAUACUAGUACCACAUAAUAAAACUUGCAAGCAUAAAAAAAUCCAUAGAACUGCAACAGAAAAAGCCUAACCAAAACAGACGUCAAGCCAUCAUGCAAAGGGACUAAGCAAACCAACCUAUAGGGAUGAGACUUUCCCUGGUGAAAACGUAAAGUUAUUUUUGUUUAUUUUCUACUUUUUUUCCUUUUCUUUCCUUAUUACUCCUUUUUCUUUAUCUCUCUAUCUGACUCCUCUUUUUUUCCUUUUUGAUGCAAGGCAUGGCUUUCUGUUGGGAUGGAUGGAAGCUUCAAGAGGUUGGAGGCCUUUUUUUGGGUUUUAGUUGUUGUUGUUCUUCAGUGUGAGGAACAACAACUUAGGGUUAGUUAAUUUUUUAAAUUGUGGCUCUUCAUUCUUUGUAAAUUUGAUUCUUUUUAUAGUGAGAAUUAGGUUAGAAUUUUUAGGUUAGAUUGAUUCAAAUAGAAAGGUUUAGACGUGAUUUGUAUUGUUUUUGGUAUAUUCAAAUGUAACAGCAAUCACACUUAAUGAAAAUAUUUGAUUUUUUUAUUAAUAUUCUAUUUGAUCCAUUUUUGUAAUCUUGUUUACACAUUUGAUAUUUCUGAUUAUUUUUAUACUCUUGUGCUUGGACUUGUUGACUGUUGACUCAACUCUAGGGCUAGACUCAAUAAUAAAUAGUCACGAUAAUAAUAAAUAAUAAUAAGGUAAAAUAGCCUAAUAAUAUUAAUAAUAAAGUUAAAAUCAAGUAAUGUGUGAAUAACAAAACUUGAAAAGAAGUGAGAUCAUUAAAACUAAAAAAUAAAAUAAUAAUAAUAGCACUAUUAAAUAAAAUAAUUGUAAUAAUAAUAAUAAUAAUAAUAAUAAUAAUAAUAAUAAUAAUAAUAAUAAUAAAGAUGUUAAUAAUAAGAUAAUAACAAAAGAAUUAAUAUGGGCCAAAAAUAGUGACAUGACCCAAAUACUAGGUGUAUUAAUAAAAUAAGAAUAAAUAGCAAUUAAAAAAUAAAUAUGGGCUAAUAAAAGGAUAAAAGUAAAAAAUUAUUCUCCUUUAACUUUUGGAUUAUUGAAGUACAUGAUGAACUCAAAUGANAAAUAAAAUAAUAAUAAUAGCACUAUUAAAUAAAAUAAUUGUAAUAAUAAUAAUAAUAAUAAUAAUAAUAAUAAUAAUAAUAAUAAUAAUAAUAAAGAUGUUAAUAAUAAGAUAAUAACAAAAGAAUUAAUAUGGGCCAAAAAUAGUGACAUGACCCAAAUACUAGGUGUAUUAAUAAAAUAAGAAUAAAUAGCAAUUAAAAAAUAAAUAUGGGCUAAUAAAAGGAUAAAAGUAAAAAAUUAUUCUCCUUUAACUUUUGGAUUAUUGAAGUACAUGAUGAACUCAAAUGAAAAUGGUGACUCAAAUGAAUUGAGAUUGACCUAAGGUUCAUAUGCGAUAGUCCUAUAGUGAUAGGGCACAGACUAAAAAAAAAUUUAGUCAGAUAAAAAAAAUAUGAUUAAAAUUUGAAGUAUGAUAAUAGUGUAAUAACUAUAAUUAAAAUGAAUGGAUAUUAUUUUGUUAUUUUAUUAUUGGUCUAAUAGGCUAACACAUACCAAUAAAUGAUUACGAGAAAAAAAAAUGCUAUUUUGCACCAAAUUUCGUAUUGUAGGUAAGUGUUUACAAAUAUGGUGCAUAGUGAUAUUUUUAACUUUGACAUUUUUAUAUAUUUUUUCUUUCAUCAAAAUAAUUUUAGUUAAUGGUGUGUAAAAAUUUGAUUAAUACAAUGUCUAAUUCAGUUAAUAUGUACUCCCUCCGGUCUCAUAUGUAAGCAAAAAAAAAAAAAUUUGGAGUCUCAAAUAUAAGCAAAAAUUAAUUACAAUUGUUAUAAUUAAAUAUAUCAUUCCAAUUUUACCCUCAAAUUUAGUUUUUCAAUAUUCAUGUUUAUUCCUAUAAUAACUCCACUUUUUACACUUCCAAAAGAGCAUUUAUUCUGAAACGUUGCAUUUGUUAUCAUUGGCUUUUGAAAAGUCAUAUCCUAUUAUAAAUGGUGCAGUAUCAUUGGCUGUUAAAUUUCUACAGGGCGGGACCAUGGAAAUUUAGGCGGGUGGAGAGUACAGUAAAUGGACUAAGAAGUGUUGUUUUUAGGCGGGACAAAUUUCUACAGGAAAUUUUAGGAAAUUUUAGUAAGAGUAAGUGGAAUAUAUAACCACUAAAUGACUAACCAUUAAAUGGUAUUAAUAAAAAUUGACUAACCAUUAAAUGGUUAUAAUAAAAAUAUUAAUUUAUUUCUAAAUUAAUAAAUAAGGGUAAAUAUGGAAAAAAUGUAUAUUUUCCAUUACUUAAAUGAAUAUAUAGCCACUUUCUUAAAGNN